CCUACGGGUGGCUGCAGUCGAGAAUCAUUCACAAUGGGGGAAACCCUGAUGGUGCGACGCCGCGUGGGGGAAUGAAGGUCUUCGGAUUGUAAACCUCUGUCAUGUGGGAGCAAAUUAAAAAGAUAGUACCACAAGAGGAAGAGACGGCUAACUCUGUGCCAGCAGCCGCGGUAAUACAGAGGUCUCAAGCGUUGUUCGGAAUCACUGGGCGUAAAGCGUGCGUAGGCUGUUUCGUAAGUCGGGUGUGAAAGGCGCGGGCUCAACCCGCGGACGGCACAUGAUACUGCGAGACUAGAGUAAGGGAGGGGGAGCCGGAAUUCUCGGUGUAGCAGUGAAAUGCGUAGAUAUCGAGAGGAACACUCGUGGCGAAGGCGGGUUCCUGGACAUUAACUGACGCUGAGGCACGAAGGCCAGGGGAGCGAAAGGGAUUAGAUACCCCGGUAGUC
rnacentral:rRNA from 1 species